rnacentral:SRP_RNA from 1 species
UGUGGUCUUGCCAACGCUGGCCCGCGAACCCCGCCAGGCCCGGAAGGGAGCAACGGUAACGGUGUUCAGCGGGUGGCGAGACCUUUCUU